GCGCUAGUAGCUCAGCCCGAAGAGCAAUUUGCAAUUAAAAUAGGUCAGUGGUUCAAUUCCACUCUCGCGCU